rnacentral:rRNA from 1 species
UGGGGAAUAUUGCACAAUGGAGGAAACUCUGAUGCAGCGACGCCGCGUGAGCGAUGAAGGUCUUCGGAUCGUAAAGCUCUGUCCUAAGGGAAGAUAGUGACGGUACCUUAGGAGGAAGCCCCGGCUAACUACGUGCCAGCAGCCGCGGUAACACGUAGGGGGCGAGCGUUGUCCGGAAUUACUGGGUGUAAAGGGUGCGUAGGCGGCCUUGCAAGUCAGAUGUGAAAGAUCACGGCUUAACUGUGGUAAGCAUUUGAAACUGUAAGGCUUGAGUGCAGGAGAGGAGAGUGGAAUUCCUAGUGUAGCGGUGAAAUGCGUAGAUAUUAGGAAGAAUAUCAGUGGCGAAGGCGGCUCUCUGGACUGCAACUGACGCUGAGGCACGAAAGCGUGGGGAGCAAAC